GCAAGUCGAGCGAAUCCCCGCAAGGGGGGAAGCGGCGAAAGGGGCAGUAAGGCGUGGGUAACCUACCCCGGGGACUGGUAUAGCCCUUCGAGAGAAGGGGUAAUCCCGGGCGACGUGUCGAGGGGGCAUCCCCUUGCCACCAAAUGAGUUUCGCCCCGGGAGGGGCCCACGUGGUGUUAGCUAGUUGGUGGGGUAACGGCCCACCAAGGCGAAGAUGCCUAGCGGGUGUGAGAGCACGACCCGCGCCACUGGCACUGAGACACUGGCCAGACACCUACGGGUGGCUGCAGUCGAGGAUCUUCGGCAAUGGGCGCAAGCCUGACCGAGCGACGCCGCGUGGGCGAUGAAGGCCUUCGGGUUGUAAAGCCCUGUCGAGGGGGAGAAAGUGGAAACUUGAUCUAUCCCUGGAGGAAGCACGGGCUAAGUUCGUGCCAGCAGCCGCGGUAAGACGAACCGUGCGAACGUUGUUCGGAAUCACUGGGCUUAAAGGGCGCGUAGGCGGGCCGCCAAGUCCGCGGUGAAAUCCCCCGGCUCAACCGGGGAACUGCCGCGGAUACUGGAGGUCUCGAGGGGGGUAGGGGCAUGCGGAACUGCGGGUGGAGCGGUGAAAUGCGUUGAUAUCCGCAGGAACUCCGGUGGCGAAGGCGGCGUGCUGGACCCCUUCUGACGCUGAGGCGCGAAAGCCAGGGGAGCGAACGGGAUUAGAUACCCCGGUAGUCCUGGCCCUAAACGAUGGGAACUAGGUUGUAGGCUAGACAUGGGCUUACAGCCGAAGCAAAAGUGCUAAGUUC
rnacentral:rRNA from 1 species